rnacentral:rRNA from 1 species
CGCCCAUUAAAGCGGUACGCGAGCUGGGUUCAGAACGUCGUGAGACAGUUCGGUCCCUAUCCGGCGCGGGCGGAGGAUAUUUGAGAGGAGCUGUCCUUAGUACGAGAGGACCGGGAUGGACGGACCGCUGGUGUACCAGUUGCAUUACCAAGUGCAGAGCUGGGUAGCCAAGUCCGGAAAGGAUAAACGCUGAAGGCAUCUAAGCGUGAAGCCAACCUCAAGAUAAGAUAUCCCACUCCCCUGAGGAGUUAAGACCCCUUGAAGACUACGAGGUUGAUAGGCACCGAGUGUAAGUGUGGUAACACAUUCAGCUGAGGUGUACUAAUAGGUCGAGGGCUUAUUCA